rnacentral:rRNA from 1 species
GUACGCUGGCGGCACGCCUUAUACAUGCAAGUCGAACGCAGUAGCAAUACUGAGUGGCAGACGGGUGAGUAUAAUGUGGGAAUCUGCCUUUUGGUUUGGAAUAACUUGGGGAAACCCGAGCUAAUACUGGAUAAGCCCUUACGGGGAAAGUUUUAAUGCCAAAAGAUGAGCCCGCACUUGAUUAGCUAGUUGGUAAGGUAAAAGCUUACCAAGGCAACGAUCAAUAGCUGUUCUUAGAGGAAGACCAGCCACAUUGGGACUGAGACACGGCCCAGACUCCUACGGGAGGCAGCAGUGGGGAAUCUUGCACAAUGGGGGAAACCCUGAUGCAGCGAUGCCGCGUGAGUGAAGAAGGCCUUUGGGUUGUAAAGCUCUUUCGUCGGGGAAGAAAAUGACUGUACCCGAAUAAGAAGGUCCGGC